rnacentral:lncRNA from 1 species
AUGGAGGAGAUGUUGAGUUCCCUGAGGGAUGAAUCUUGCAUUCCCUACCUGGACGACAUACUGUGUUAUGCAAAGUCCUUCAGUGAUCACGUGGAGGUGUGUCGUAAGGUUCUCCAAGCUCUGCAGCACCAUGGGGUGAAGCUUCGACCGGAGAAAUGUGAGGUAUUCAAGCGAGAAGUUCGAUAUGUUGGGCGCAUGGUGUCAGCCGAGGGUGUUCGAGUUGACCCUAAAGACUUUGAGGCUGUGCUGGCUUUGAAAACCAAAACCCCACAAACAGUCGGCGACAUCAGACAGGUUCUUGGCUUCCUUAGCUACUACCGAUCCUACAUACAGGACUUCGCCAAGAUAGCCAAACCACUAUAUGAGCUGCUCCAAGGGAAGUCCCCCAUGCCAAAACAACCCCCCCGGCACUGUAAGUCCAAGGGUCCUCAAUUACCCUCCAGGACGCCUAUAGAAUGGACUGCAGAUCACCAAAGUACACUAGAAGAGCUCAUCAACAUGCUAACGCAUCCCCCAGUUCUAGCAUAUCCAAACUUUGAGGAGCCAUUCGUUCUGCAUACUGAUGCGUCAGAGAAAGGGCUUGGCGCAAUCCUCUACCAGCAGCAAGAUGGGAAACUGCGAGUCAUUGGAUAUGGAUCUAGAACAUUGACACAUGCGGAGAGAAACUACAACCUCCACAGCGGAAAACUUGAGUUCCUUGCUCUAAAGUGGGCAGUGUGUGAGAAGUUUAGAGAUUAUCUCUUCUAUGCUCCACACUUUACCAUCUACACUGAUAACAACCCACUGACCUAUGUAAUGAGCACUGCAAAACUCAAUGCAGUUGGACAUCGCUGGGUUGGAGAAUUAUCAGAUUUCCGCUUCAACAUCAAAUACAGGCCUGGGAAGAUCAAUAUUGAUGCUGACACACUCUCCCGCAUCCCGCUGGAUAUGAACAGUUAUGUGGAGACAUGUACUGAGGAGCAGUCACAGGAAGUGUUACAUGCAACCUGGGACGGUAGUCAAGCAGCAAAGAGAAAAGAAGUGGCCUGGAUAGUUGCUCUCUACGCCUCAUCUCUCGAUGUAAUCCCACAGCCUCGUAUGACCCUACCUGAAAUCAGUCAUGAUGAGCUUGCAAAAGCGCAAAGAGAAGACCCGGCAAUAGGGGAAGUAAUAAGGCUAAAAGAGACGAAUGCUGUUCUUACUGAUGCAACACGGAAGUCUGUGAGUGGGCUCACUCGAAAGAUCCUUCAUGAGUGGAAUCAACUACACCUUGAAGAUGAAAUCCUAUACCGACGGACAACGGAAAGAAAACAGUUAGUUCUUCCUGUCAAGUACCAACCUGUUGCUCUGAAACACCUCCAUGAUAACAUGGGACAUGUGGGUACAGAACGAGUGCUUCAACUCGCCAGAGAAAGGUUUUACUGGCCUUAUAUGAAAAGGUGCAUAGAGGACUAUGUGACAAAGAAAUGCAGUUGUAUAAAACAGAAGAAGCCCACAACGCAUGUGCGCGCACCAAUGGGUGGCAUAACAUCUAACUCGCCCCUUGACCUUGUCUAG